rnacentral:tRNA from 1 species
GCGCACUUAGCUCAGUGGCUAGAGCAUCACUCUUGAAUGUUGAAAUCGCAUGUUCAAUUCCUGUAGUGCACA